AGCAAUCCUGGUGGCGAGUGGCGAACGGGUGAGUAAUACAUCGGAACGUGCCCAAUCGUGGGGGAUAACGCAGCGAAAGCUGUGCUAAUACCGCAUAAGAUCUACGGAUGAAAGCAGGGGAUCGCAAGACCUUGCGCGAAUGGAGCGGCCGAUGGCAGAUUAGGUAGUUGGUGAGGUAAAGGCUCACCAAGCCUUCGAUCUGUAGCUGGUCUGAGAGGACGACCAGCCACACUGGGACUGAGACACGGCCCAGACUCCUACGGGAGGCAGCAGUGGGGAAUUUUGGACAAUGGGCGCAAGCCUGAUCCAGCCAUGCCGCGUGCAGGAUGAAGGCCUUCGGGUUGUAAACUGCUUUUGUACGGAACGAAAAGUCUCUUUCUAAUAAAGAGGGAUCAUGACGGUACCGUAAGAAUAAGCACCGGCUAACUACGUGCCAGCAGCCGCGGUAAUACGUAGGGUGCAAGCGUUAAUCGGAAUUACUGGGCGUAAAGCGUGCGCAGGCGGUUAUAUAAGACAGUUGUGAAAUCCCCGGGCUCAACCUGGGAACUGCAUCUGUGACUGUAUAGCUAGAGUACGGUAGAGGGGGAUGGAAUUCCGCGUGUAGCAGUGAAA
rnacentral:rRNA from 1 species